CCACCCUACGGGGGGCAGCAGUAGGGAAUCUUCCACAAUGGGCGAAAGCCUGAUGGAGCAACGCCGCGUGGGUGAAGAAGGUCUUCGGAUCGUAAAACCCUGUUGUUAGAGAAGAAAGUGCGUGAGAGUAACUGUUCACGUUUCGACGGUAUCUAACCAGAAAGCCACGGCUAACUACGUGCCAGCAGCCGCGGUAAUACGUAGGUGGCAAGCGUUAUCCGGAUUUAUUGGGCGUAAAGGGAACGCAGGCGGGCUUUUAAGUCUGAUGGGAAAGCCUUCGGCUUAACCGGAGGAGGGCAGUGGGA
rnacentral:rRNA from 1 species